rnacentral:rRNA from 1 species
GGGACCCGCACAAGCGGUGGAUGAUGUGGAUUAAUUCGAUGCAACGCGAAAACCUUAACCCACCUUUGACAUGUACGGAGCCCUUUAGAGAUAGAGGGGUGCUCGAAAGAGAGCCGUAACACAGGUGCUGCAUGGCUGUCGUCAGCUCGUGUCGUGAGAUGUUGGGUUAAGUCCCGCAACGAGCGCAACCCUUGUCAUUAGUUGCUACAUUCAGUUGGGCACUCUAAUGAGACUGCCGGUGACAAGCCGGAGGAAGGUGGGGAUGACGUCAAGUCCUCAUGGCCCUUAUAGGUGGGGCUACACACGUCAUACAAUGGCUGGUACAAAGGGUUGCCAACCCGCGAGGGGGAGCCAAUCCCAUAAAGCCAGUCGUAGUCCGGAUCGUAGUCUGCAACUCGACUACGUGAAGUCGGAAUCGCUAGUAAUCGUGGAUCAGAAUGUCACGGUGAAUACGUUCCCGGGUCUU